rnacentral:rRNA from 1 species
UACGUAGGGGGCAAGCGUUGUCCGGAAUCAUUGGGCGUAAAGAGCGUGUAGGCGGCCAGAAAAGUCCGCUGUGAAAACUCGAGCUCAACCUCGAGACGCCGGUGGAAACCAUCAGACUAGAGUCCGGAAGAGGAGAGUGGAAUUCCUGGUGUAGCGGUGAAAUGCGCAGAUAUCAGGAAGAACACCCGUGGCUAAGGCGGCUCUCUAGUACGGUACUGACGCUGAGACGCGAAAGCGUGGGGAGCGAACAGG